rnacentral:tRNA from 1 species
GGCAGUGUGGCCUAGUGGAAAGAGCAUGGGCCUGGGAGUCCGAUGACUUGGGUUCUAGUCCUGGUUCUGCCA